GUGCCAGCCGCCGCGGUAAUACCGGCAGCCCAAGUGAUGGCCGAUCUUAUUGGGCCUAAAGCGUCCGUAGCUGGGUCUGAAAGUCCAUCGGGAAAUCCACUCGCUCAACGAGUGGCCGUCCGGUGGAAACUCCACACCUUGGGACCGGAAGGCUCGAAGGGUACGGCCGGGGUAGGAGUGAAAUCCUAUAAUCCCGCACGGACCACCGAUGGCGAAAGCACUUCGAGAAAACGGAUCCGACAGUGAGGGACGAAUGCCAGGGUCUCCAACCGGAUUAGAAACCCGUGUGUCC
rnacentral:rRNA from 1 species